rnacentral:rRNA from 1 species
GAUGAACGCUGGCGGCGUGCUUAACACAUGCAAGUCGAACGGUGAAAGAGGAGCUUGCUCCUCUGGAUCAGUGGCGAACGGGUGAGUAACACGUGAGCAAUCUGCCCCGAACUCUGGGAUAAGCGCUGGAAACGGCGUCUAAUACCGGAUACGAGACGAGAAGGCAUCUUCAUCGUCUGGAAAGAACUUCGGUUCGGGAUGAGCUCGCGGCCUAUCAGCUAGUUGGUGAGGUAAUGGCUCACCAAGGCGACGACGGGUAGCCGGCCUGAGAGGGUGACCGGCCACACUGGGACUGAGACACGGCCCAGACUCCUACGGGAGGCAGCAGUGGGGAAUAUUGCACAAUGGGCGCAAGCCUGAUGCAGCAGCGCCGCGUGAGGGACGACGGCCUUCGGGUUGUAAACCUCUUUUAGCAGGGAAGAAGCGAAAGUGACGGUACCUGCAGAAAAAGCACCGGCUAACUUCGUGCCAGCAGCCGCCGUAACAC